CAGCCGCCACGGUAAUACGUAGGUGGCAAGCGUUGUCCGGAUUUAUUGGGCGUAAAGCGAGCGCAGGCGGUUAGAUAAGUCUGAAGUUAAAGGCUGUGGCUUAACCAUAGUACGCUUUGGAAACUGUUUAACUUGAGUGCAAGAGGGGAGAGUGGAAUUCCAUGUGUAGCGGUGAAAUGCGUAGAUAUAUGGAGGAACGCCGGUGGCGAAAGCGGCUCUCUGGCUUGUAACUGACGCUGAGGCUCGAAAGCGUGGGGAGCAAACAGGAUUAGAGACCCCUGUAGUCCCUGUCUCUUAUACA
rnacentral:rRNA from 1 species